GAGGGUGGGGAGGACAAGGGGGCUUGUUGGCUGGGGUGGUGAUGAUGGUGACGGCGACGCCGCGGAGGGCCAGGAGGGUGGCCAAGUCGAGGAGGGGGAUCAUGUGGCCGGGGCAUAUGAAGGGAAGGAUGUACACUCGGAGAGGGCCUUCUUCUUGAGCCAUGAGAGAGAGGGAGAGCGAGGACCGAGGAGGGUGGAAAUCGGAGGAAAGGUAAGAGAGAGAAGGAUUGGUCGGCGCAGAGAUGGGUUAUGGAGCCAAAGCCAGCCUCUGCCAGGCGUGGAAUACGC
rnacentral:lncRNA from 1 species